rnacentral:rRNA from 1 species
GACGAACGCUGGCGGCGUGCUUAACACAUGCGAGUCGAACGGAAAGGCCCUGCUUUUGUGGGGUUCUCUAGUGGCGAACGGGUGAGUAACACGUGAGUAACCUGCCCUUGACUUUGGGAUAACUUCAGGAAACUGGGGCUAAUACCGGAUAGGAGCUCCUGCUGCAUGGUGGGGGUUGGAAAGUUUCGGCGGUUGGGGAUGGACUCGCGGCUUAUCAGCUUGUUGGUGGGGUAGUGGCUUACCAAGGCUUUGACGGGUAGCCGGCCUGAGAGGGUGACCGGCCCCAUUGGGACUGAGCUACGGCACAGACUCCUACGGGAGGCAGCAGUGGGGAAUAGUGCACAAUGGGCGGAAGCCUGAUGCAGCAACGCCGCGUGCGGGAUGACGGCCUUCGGGUUGUAAACCGCUUUCGCCUGUGACGAAGAGUGAGUGACGGUAAUGGGUAAAGAAGCACCGGCUAACUACGUG